GACGAACGCUGGCGGCGUGCCUAAUACAUGCAAGUCGAGCGCUGAAGGCCGGUUCUUGUACCAACCUGGUGAGCAGCGCACGGGUGAGUCACGCGUGUGGACUCUGCCUUUCAGCGGGGGACCACCUUUGGACACGAAUGCUAACACCGCAUAAACACUUUAAACACAAGUUUUAAGUGUGAAAGAUGCAAUUGCAUCACUCAAAGACGAUCCCGCGUUGUAUUAGGUAGUUGGUGAGGUAAAGGCUCACCAAGGCGAGGCUACCUAGCAGGACGGAGAGGGUGAGCAGCCGGACUGAGAGGGAGACACGGCCCAGACUCCUACAGGAAGCAGCAGUAGGGAAACUUCGGCCAGGAGUGAGAGACAUACCGAGCUACGCCGAGGGAGGGUGGAAGGUUGUCGGGUCGUAAAACUCGGUUUGUAGGGAAGAAACUGGGUGAGAGUGGAAAGAUCAUCGAGUGACGGUAACUGCUCAGAAAGGGACGGCUAACUACGUG
rnacentral:rRNA from 1 species